rnacentral:rRNA from 1 species
GACAGAGGGUGCAAACGUUGUUCGGAAUUACUGGGCGUAAAGCGCGUGUAGGUGGCAAGGCAAGUCGGGUGUGAAAGCCCCGGGCUCAACCCGGGAAGUGCAUUCGAUACUGCCAAGCUAGAGUCCCGGAGAGGAUGGUGGAACUCUCGGUGUAGAGGUGAAAUGCGCAGAUAUCGGGAAGAACACCCGUGGCGAAGGCGGUUCUCUGGGACGGUACUGACGCUGAGACGCGAAAGCGUGGGGACGAACAGG